UCUUUGAGAUUCCCUUCUUUUAACUCUUGCUCUUUUUGUGUCUUAUUUCUAGUGGUUUGUUUGCCAGUCACUACACAGAAACACACUACCUGGAAGACGGCAGCGCGGUCACCGGCUCUCACAACCUCACGACGAACUGCUAUUACCACGGAAUGGUGCAGGGACACAUCUAUUCUGACGUCAGCCUCAGUACCUGCUCAGGUCUCAGUGGCUUCAUCUCACUAGAAAACAGAUCCUACGUUUUGGAGCCGUCAACGGAUCCCCCC